rnacentral:rRNA from 1 species
UACGAAGGGGGGCUAGCGUUGCUCGGAAUUACUGGGCGUAAAAGGGAGCGUAGGCGGAUAGUUCAGUCAGAGGUGAAAGCCCAGGGCUCAACCUUGGAACUGCCUUUGAUACUGGCUAUCUUGAGUUUGGGAGAGGUGUGUGGAACUCCGAGUGGUAGAGGUGAAAUUCGUAGAUAUUCGGAAGAACACCAGUGGCGAAGGCGACACACUGGCCCAAUACGUGGACGC